AAGGUCCUGAUCCUCUGAAGCCCCAAGUACCUACUUGGGAGAUAUAGGUAGGAGGUCGGGGCUUU
rnacentral:sRNA from 1 species